GAGGCAGCAGUGGGGAAUUUUGGACAAUGGGCGAAAGCCUGAUCCAGCAAUGCCGCGUGUGUGAAGAAGGCCUUCGGGUUGUAAAGCACUUUUGUCCGGAAAGAAAUGGCUCUGGUUAAUACCUGGGGUCGAUGACGGUACCGGAAGAAUAAGGACCGGCUAACUACGUGCCAGCAGCCGCGGUAAUACGUAGGGUCCAAGCGUUAAUCGGAAUUACUGGGCGUAAAGCGUGCGCAGGCGGUUGUGCAAGACCGAUGUGAAAUCCCCGAGCUUAACUUGGGAAUUGCAUUGGUGACUGCACGGCUAGAGUGUGUCAGAGGGGGGUAGAAUUCCACGUGUAGCAGUGAAAUGCGUAGAGAUGUGGAGGAAUACCGAUGGCGAAGGCAGCCCCCUGGGAUAACACUGACGCUCAUGCACGAAAGCGUGGGGAGCAAACAGGAUUAGAUACCCUGGUAGUCCACGCCCUAAACGAUGUCAACUAGUUGUUGGGGAUUCAUUUCCUUAGUAACGUAGCUAACGCGUGAAGUUGACCGCCUGGGGA
rnacentral:rRNA from 1 species